AAUAGGAGAAAGAAGCACGCAGUACCAAGAACCCGAUACCGUUGGCUCUGAUUCGAGCAGAAGUCAGAUCCGAUCAUACCUGACCAAUAUAGUUUGACUGAACACAGAAGGACAUGUGAAGGAAAUGAGAGCUUCUGCAGGAGAACAUUGCAGUCACACCAGUGGAUCUGUCUGCCUAACUGGACCGACAACACCGAGGGAAGGGACAGAGCAGGAUGUUUUUCCUGAGAAGGCUGAGGUUGUUUAAUGUUUCUAAUAUGCUACUGAGAAUGUUUUACAGUGGUCUCCAGUGUCCUGUUCUUCGCCGGGAGCCUGCUGGGGAGGCAACAUCUGUGCCAGGGACUCUACCAGGCUGAACAAGUUGGUGAAGGCCACCUCUGUGGUGGGGACCAGGUUGGACAGCCUGGAGGUGGUGGUUGAACAGAGGAUGGGGGAAAAAACUGGCGGCCAUGUUGGCCAAUCCCUCCCAUCCACUGCACAUCGAGCUGACGGGGAUGAGGAGCAAAUUCAGCAACGGAUUUGUCCUCCCCCGUCAGAGCACAAAGAGAUUUGGACAGUCGUUUAUUCCAGCUGCACUCCGACUCUACAACCAGGCCCGCAGGCAUGGGGAGACCUGGAGGUAGAGUUGAUAGGCUAACUGACUUGGGACUUUUUAUCUGCACAUGAUGCACUUUAGCAAACUACCAGCUUGCACUGCAUAUUCAUUGGACCAGCAGUGUGUUUAUAGUUAUUGCAUUGUGAACUGUUUUUCUGUUUGUCUUCCUCUUUUUAAACGUCAUGAGCUGUUUGACAACUGAUUUUCCCCAGAGGGGACAAUAAAGGUUUCAAUCAAUCAAUCAAUGCCUACCUGCCCAUCUGUAUCACUUCACAGAAGCGUGUUCUAAUGUAACGGCACCAUAUAUAUUAGUAAAGCGUGAUAGCGGCCAGCUGGAUCUCUCCUCAUACCCAUAAAUGUUUGCUUUUGUUGUUGGAGCCCAUAUGACAAUACAUGUGUUUUUUUUGUUUUAUUGGCAGAUGUAUCUGCAACUUUGUGGUGCCAUUCACUCAUGAUUCAAACUUCAAAUCACAGCAAAAAACAAAUGGCAAACCUCACACAUUGGGUGACUGUUCAGGAGCAUUUAGUUGCGUCGCUUGCUGCGCAAUGGGUCCAAGGUGCUGAUCUGUGGCAAUGGAGGCUGAAUGGCAGAGAGGACGCCAGGUAUCUCAAUGAGUGGGAUUGUCAGGUUGCUUUGCAGUCAUGCCUUGCAUAGUCGUACGUUUAAACUUGUGAGAUUCUGAUUGGUAUCUGCUAUCAGAUGAAAUACACCCACCCAGUCCACUGCUCAACACAGAGUCAGGUCUUGUGUGCCUGGUACAGAUUGUGACGGAGUCAGUGGGAGAUAAAGAAAAUAAAAGUUCCCUAAAGGGCGGCUGUGUGUUUUGUAACUUUCAGCCUUUGAAGUGGGAAUACAUGCACACUAGUAUAUAUAAAUAUUAACCGUAUGAAUUCAAACAUUGAUUUUACAUUUGUUUCUCUUUGUAGGGUGAAAACUGUUACUUUAUUCCAGAGACCAGAACACCAUAGUGUAAAUGGAUGGAAAAAAAUUAGUCACAUUAUAUUCAGAUAUAGGUUUACUGUGUAUAUUGACCCACUGCAUAAGAGUGGUUUUAUAACUUUAAGUGCACACAUAAAGCAAAGCAUUGACUUCCUUUAUUAAA